rnacentral:misc_RNA from 1 species
GAACUGCGAUAAGUAAUGUGAAUUGCAGAAUUCAGUGAAUCAUCGAGUCUUUGAACGCACAUUGCGCCCCCUGGCAUUCCGGGGGGCAUGCCUGUCCGAGCGUCAUUGCUGCCCUCAAGCCCGGCUUGUGUGUUGGGUCGUCGUCCCCCCCGGGGGCCGGGCCCGAAAGGCAGCGGCGGCACCGUGUCCGGUCCUCGAGCGUAUGGGGCUUUGUCACCCGCUCGAUUAGGGCCGGCCGGGCGCCAGCCGGCGUCUCCAACCUUAUUUUUCUCAGGUUGACCUCGGAUCAGGUAGGGAUACCCGCUGAACUUAAGC